rnacentral:rRNA from 1 species
ACGGAGCAACGCCGCGUGAGUGAUGAAGGUUUUCGGAUCGUAAAGCUCUGUUGUUAGGGAAGAACAAGUGCGAGAGUAACUGCUCGCACCUUGACGGUACCUAACCAGAAAGCCACGGCUAACUACGUGCCAGCAGCCGCGGUAAUACGUAGGUGGCAAGCGUUGUCCGGAAUUAUUGGGCGUAAAGGGCUCGCAGGCGGUUUCUUAAGUCUGAUGUGAAAGCCCCCGGCUCAACCGGGGAGGGUCAUUGGAAACUGGGAAACUUGAGUGCAGAAGAGGAGAGUGGAAUUCCACGUGUAGCGGUGAAAUGCGUAGAGAUGUGGAGGAACACCAGUGGCGAAGGCGACUCUCUGGUCUGUAACUGACGCUGAGGAGCGAAAGCGUGGGGAGCGAACAGGAUUAGAUACCCUGGUAGUCCACGCCGUAAACGAUGAGUGCUAAGUGUUAGGGGGUUUCCGCCCCUUAGUGCUGCAGCUAACGCAUUAAGCACUCCGCCUGGGGAGUACGGUCGCAAGACUGAAACUCAAAGGAAUUGACGGGGGCCCGCACAAGCGGUGGAGCAUGUGGUUUAAUUCGAAGCAACGCGAAGAACCUUACCAGGUCUUGACAUCCUCUGACAACCCUAGAGAUAGGGCUUUCCCUUCGGGGACAGAGUGACAGGUGGUGCAUGGUUGUCGUCAGCUCGUGUCGUGAGAUGUUGGGUUAA